UGAAUGUAAAUAUGAGAAAAUUGAGAAAUGAGAAUAAGAUAGUGGCGUGGCGCCCGUAUCAGUUGAACAAAUCCCAUGUUGCUCUGGUCCCUUAGAGUGUGUAACAUCAGUGCCACAUGAUCCAUCACUUUACCCCGC
ensembl:ncRNA C32A9.6 ncRNA